UCGUAACAAGGUUUCCGUAGGUGAACCUGCGGAAGGAUCAUUACCGAGUGAGGGUCCCUCGGGGCCCAACCUCCCAUCCGUGUUGUCCUGACACCUGUUGCUUCGGCGGGCCCGCCGUGGUUCACGCCCCGGCCGCCGGGGGGUUCACGCCCCCGGGCCCGCGCCCGCCGAAGACCCCUGGAACGCUGCCUGGAAGGUUGCCGUCUGAGUAUACAAUCAAUCAAUUAAAACUUUCAACAACGGAUCUCUUGGUUCCGGCAUCGAUGAAGAACGCAGCGAAAUGCGAUAAGUAAUGUGAAUUGCAGAAUUCCGUGAAUCAUCGAAUCUUUGAACGCACAUUGCGCCCCCUGGCAUUCCGGGGGGCAUGCCUGUCCGAGCGUCAUUGCUAACCCUCCAGCCCGGCUGGUGUGUUGGGCCGCCGUCCCCCCCCCCGGGGGACGGGCCCGAAAGGCAGCGGCGGCGUCGCGUCCGGUCCUCGAGCGUAUGGGGCUUUGUCACACGCUUCAGUAGAACCGGCCGGCUUGCUGGCCACACGACCUUCACGGUCACCUAUAUUUCUCUUAGGUUGACCUCGGAUCAGGUAGGGAUACCCGCUGAACUUAAGCAUAUCAAUAA
rnacentral:misc_RNA from 1 species